UCCAAAUGAGAAAAUUGAAUUUGAAAUUUCAGAGAUAACAAUGAAAACGGCGUGACUUCACUUCAAAAUUUGUGAGUGGCACCUCUUUCCAGAAGUUGCUCUCUAUGAUAUUGGGAACAGUCAACCGCUAAAAAUUUGAUGACCGCUUAAAGUUCCUCAAAUUCAAACAGAAACUUUCCAAACCACAAACGACAUGCUACACUUGCUGCAGAACAAGGGACUAUUCUCUGGAUCUCAUGCUGAAGAUUCACAACAGUACUUGAAGAAUUUUUUCUCCAUAUGUGUCGCUUAGAGAUAGCCGAAUGUGACUUUGAAAUAAAUCAAAUUGUUUUUGUUUUCAUUCUCAGUGAUAGAAUAGGCGCAAACUUGGCUUAGUUCUAUCCCAAUCAACUUCAUACCUACUUGGGAGGGGUUAGUUAAGCAGUUCCUGAAUAAAUUUUACCUGUCCGAUAAGACUACAAAGCAAAUUUGUGAGAUACUUCACUUCAAGAAGAAAUUGACGGAGAAUUUGCUAGAAACUUGAAAAAGAUUCAAAAAGAUGCUGGUAAAGUGCCCUCACUAUGGUAUUCAAGAACAGAUGUUGCGAAAGAAGUACUAUAUGGGAUUACCUAAUAGCUUAAAAGCUAAUUUAGAUGCUUCACCCGGAGGAGCAUUCUUGAGUUUAACAUUACUUACAUCGAUUGUCCACUCGGUGCCUUUUGAUCCUCAAAAUACACUGGCUGAUAAUAUGGCAACAUGUAUGACUCAAAGGACUCUCCUGACUAAGAAGAUUGAUGAAUCGGGGAAGAUGCAGUUGCACAUAGUAUAUACUACAAAUGAAGAGUUAUGCAAUCCUUGCAUUAAUCAACCAAUGUCUGCUCAUAGAGCGAUGAAUGAUCAAAUUAGGGCUAUCCAGAAGAUAUGAAUUAUAUAGAUAACUUUGGGGUCCAAAGACAACGUCAUUAACACUAGGACAACAGAAUUAGCAAUAUAGGCCAGUAUAUCACCAAUAUAAUAAUAUUCCUAAAGGAAUAUGACCAUAGGUUCAAGUUGUGUCUUACAAGGCAACUUGGAUACAAUCAAAAGCCACAACAACAAUUUGUAGGACCCAAAAAAAGUGAAACAUUGAAAAAGAUAAAAAAGAAAUCAAAUUGGGUGGCUUUGAAAUUUUAAUGGGCUGCUGAAAAAAACAUGGG
rnacentral:lncRNA from 1 species